rnacentral:rRNA from 1 species
AACGAACGCUAUCGGUAUGCUUAACACAUGCAAGUCGGACGGACUAAUUAGGGCUUGCUCCAAUUAGUUAGUGGCAGACGGGUGAGUAACACGUGGGAAUCUGCCCAUCAGUACGGAAUAACUUUUAGAAAUAAAAGCUAAUACCGUAUAUUCUCUACAGAGGAAAGAUUUAUCGCUGAUGGAUGAGCCCGCGUCAGAUUAGGUAGUUGGUGAGGUAACGGCUCACCAAGCCGACGAUCUGUAGCUGGUCUGAGAGGAUGAUCAGCCACACUGGGACUGAGACACGGCCCAGACUCCUACGGGAGGCAGCAGUGGGGAAUAUUGGACAAUGGGCGAAAGCCUGAUCCAGCAAUACCGAGUGAGUGAUGAAGGCCCUAGGGUUGUAAAGCUCUUUUAGCAAGGAAGAUAAUGACGUUACUUGCAGAAAAAGCCCCGGCUAACUCCGUGCCAGCCGCCGCCGUAACAC